AGUUGUUUCUUUAAUUUUUUAUUUGUGCACAGCAGAAAAAUAAAUGUACAGCUAAGGUCAUUUCUAUGCUGCAGCAGUUCACCCGAAACCUCUUCAGUUACAAAGUAGUUUUAUAGAAGUACA